AAAUAAAUAUAUUCCUUUUACAUCAACUCCCUGUUAUGCUCAUACGUUAUAUGAAACUUCCCCAGGAGCCCUGUUAAAGUAUUUUGGAGGAGGCACUGACUCAGCCCAGGGGCAAUCCACCUCCUCAGGAGCAGCCAAGGCUGAUGAAUCAAGUCCAUCUCUAUCCUCUUCUCCAUCCACUGUGCCCACUGUCCUCUCUGCAACCUCAGCUGUACCUGGUCCAUCUCUAUCCUCUGCUCCAUCCACUAUGCCCACUGUCCUCUCUGC